UGCCGCCGCCGCCAUUUCCCCACCACCCACCUCCUCCGCCUCAGAAACCCUAGCUAUGGCGUGGCGCGGCGCCGCCUCCCGCACCGUCCUCGCCGCCGUGCGCCGACCGGCCUCGGCGCCCUCCGCCGCGCGCCUCCGCGCCCCGCCUCCGCUCGCCGCCCCGCGCCGCCGCGUCCCGUCCGCCUUCGCCACCUCCUCCCCGACCGCGGCCGCGCGGCCGCUGGCGGCGAUGAUGGGGUCUCCGGUGACGGUGGCGGCCAUGAUGGCGCGGCUCACGGCGCACCCGGCCGCGAGCGCUCGGGCGUGCUGCGAGCUCUCCCAGGGGAAGAGUGGGAAAGAUGGUUGAUGUUGGAGGCUGCACAGCUUGACAGGGACCUUGUUUCCUAGAAAAAUGGAAUGGAAAAGAUGGGUGAUGCAAGAGAGGCCAGUAUAGAGCAUGAAAAAGUUGCUGAUUUUGAGGCAUGCACUUUCUUUUGGUACUUGAAGUCCCUGUGUAGAUUCUGUCCUUUUGAAAGGAUAAAACUCAUCUUGGAUUCGUCUUUUGGAAAUCUAUUCUGGUGUUCCAUCCUUCUAACUGCAAAGUUAAAAUGAUCUCUCCUGCAGUAGCCAGUUCCUUUCUGAGUUUUUAGACUUGCCUGGAAUAAUUUUUAUGUUACAUUGCGUGGCCUGUGCCAAUGGAUUUAUUAUCCUUCUUUUUUGUUCAUUGGGCGAUAUCAUACUACUAUCCGCUGAGAUGCUGUGGUGUCAAAUGUUAAUUGACCUGAGUUUUAUGAUAUCUGUGUGACUAUCAUUGUA